GACGAACGCUGGCGGCGUGCCUAAUACAUGCAAGUAGAACGCACAGUUUAUACCGUAGCUUGCUACACCAUAGACUGUGAGUUGCGAACGGGUGAGUAACGCGUAGGUAACCUGCCUGGUAGCGGGGGAUAACUAUUGGAAACGAUAGCUAAUACCGCAUAAUAUUGAUUAUUGCAUGAUAAUUGAUUGAAAGAUGCUAUUGCAUCACUACCAGAUGGACCUGCGUUGUAUUAGCUAGUAGGUGAGGUAACGGCUCACCUAGGCGACGAUACAUAGCCGACCUGAGAGGGUGAUCGGCCGCACUGGGACUGAGACACGGCCCAGACUCCUACGGGAGGCAGCAGUAGGGAAUCUUCGGCAAUGGACGAAAGUCUGACCGGGCAACGCCGCGUGAGUGAAGAAGGUUUUCGGAUCGUAAAGCUCUGUUGUAAGAGAAGAACGGGUGUGAGAGUGGAAAGUUCACACUGUGACGGUAUCUUACCAGAAAGGGACGGCUAACUACGUG
rnacentral:rRNA from 1 species